rnacentral:rRNA from 1 species
AGCAUCUAUACUGUGAAACUGCGAAUGGCUCAUUAAAUCAGUUAUCGUUUAUUUGAUAGUACCUUACUACUUGGAUAACCGUGGUAAUUCUAGAGCUAAUACAUGCUAAAAACCCCGACUUUUGGAGGGGUGUAUUUAUUAGAUAAAAAACCAAUGCCCUUCGGGGCUCCUUGGUGAUUCAUAAUAACUUAACGAAUCGCAUGGCCUUGUGCCGGCGAUGGUUCAUUCAAAUUUCUGCCCUAUCAACUUUCGAUGGUUAGGUCUUGGCUAACCAUGGUUUCAACGGGUAACGGGGAAUUAGGGUUCUAUUCCGGAGAGUGAGCCUGAGAAACGGCUAACACAUCCAAGGAAGGCAGCAGGCGCGCAAAUUACCCAAUCCCGACACGGGGAGGUAGUGACAAUAAAUACUGAUCCAGGGCUCUUUUGGGUCUUGGAAUUGGAAUGAGUACAAUUUAAAUCCCUUAACGAGGAACAAUUGGAGGGCAAGUCUGGUGCCAGCAGCCGCGGUAAUUCCAGCUCCAAUAGCGUAUAUUAAAGUUGUUGCAGUUAAAAAGCUCGUAGUUGAACCUUGGGUCUGGCUGGCCGGUCCGCCUCACCGCGUGUACUGGUCCGGCCGGACCUUUCCUUCUGGGGAAUMGCAUGCCCUUCACUGGGUGUGUCGAGGAUCCAGGACUUUUACUUUGAAAAAAUUAGAGUGUUCAAAGCAGGCCUAUGCUCGAAUACAUUAGCAUGGAAUAAUAGAAUAGGACGUGUGGUUCUAUUUUGUUGGUUUCUAGGACCGCCGUAAUGAUUAAUAGGGAUAGUCGGGGGCAUCAGUAUUCAAUUGUCAGAGGUGAAAUUCUUGGAUUAAUUGAAGACUAACUACUGCGAAAGCAUUUGCCAAGGAUGUUUUCAUUAAUCAGUGAACGAAAGUUAGGGGAUCGAAGACGAUCAGAUACCGUCGUAGCUUAACCAUAAACUAUGCCGACUAGGGAUCGGGCGAUGUU